UCGCUAGUAAUCGCAGAUCAGAAUGCUGCGGUGAAUACGUUCCCGGGUCUUGUACACACCGCCCGUCACACCAUGGGAGUCGGAUAUGCCCGAAGCCAGUGACCCCAACCGUAAGGAGGGAGCUGUCGAAGGUGGAGCCGAUAACUGGGGUGAAGUCGUAACAAGGUAAC
rnacentral:rRNA from 1 species